rnacentral:rRNA from 1 species
UACGUAGGGUGCGAGCGUUAAUCGGAAUUACUGGGCGUAAAGCGUGCGUAGACGGUUAUUUAAGUCAGGUGUGAAAGCCCCGGGCUCAACCCGGGAAAUGCGCUCGAAACUUGAAGACUGGAGGCCGGAAGAGGGUAGUGGAAUUCCCAGUGUAGAGGUGAAAUUCGUAGAUAUUGGGAAGAACACCAGUGGCGAAGGCGGCUACCUGGUCCGGAUCUGACGCUGAGGCGCGAAAGCGUGGGGAGCAAACAGG